GCGGAAGAUAGUAAAUAUUAAUUCUUUUUUAAAAUUUUUUUUUUUUUUUUGCAUAAGUGAAUCUGGUCAAGAAUCAGUCCAAAAAAUUAAAUUUUAUAAAUAAGGAAUUUCAGGUGUGUAAAUUGAUAAGUAUUUAUAAUCUUUUUUGUUAUUGUUGUUUUUAAAAAUCGUGUCAAUUUAAAAUCGCAGCUCUUCCUUGUUUUAUGAUGCCAAAGUGUUCUUAUUUUCUGUUCUCUCCAAUAUUUUUUGAAUUUUUCCUUUGUUGUGCAAAUCUGUUAUGAUGAUGAUAUUUUAUGAAAUGAUUAUCCAGUUUAAAAUGCUUAAACAGAAAUUUUAUGAAGGAAAUGACAAAUAUGGUUUAAUAGUAGCAAUAUUAAACGUGAUUUAAAAAUAAAAAUAAAAAAAUAAUAAUAAUAACUCGGGGUUCUGCUGAAAAGAAGCAACGAAUCUAUUUGUGGUCUCGUACUCUUGUGUAUGUAACUAAGUUCUUAUGUUUCUUUAUUCAGGAGAAGUUCGGGUGUGCAAACUUUUGUAAAUUUUGUUUUAAACUUCUUCACAUUGUGCUGUGUAAAUAUGAAAAUGUAUGCAUGCUAAUGUUUGAUGGCAAAGUGUUUACAGAAGAAAAGGACAUGAUCACUUAUUUUUAAAAAUUCCCUAUACAAUUUUACAAAUUUUAGGGAAAAAAAUCAUAAAAUAAAUUAUGAGAUUGAUUUUUUCCUUUUGCCUUUUUUUGUUAUCUUAUUCUUGGUUGUUAAAGAAAUUUUUUUUAUACAAAUAUACUCUUACAACUCAAAAAAAAAAAAGAAAAAGAAACCACUCCUAUAUCAUAUCAGCUUUUUUAGUAUUUUUUGUAAUAGGCCUUUCAAGUGUGUGUGUACUCUGUAUGUUUUAUUAUAAUAGGUAAGUCAUAUUGGAUGUUUUAUUGUCAUGGUUCUCUGCCUUUUUGGAACAUGAUGUGUCCAUGUACAGUUGUUACAAUGCUGUAAAAUAAAUAAGGUAAAAAAAUUGCUAUUUUUAUAGGAUAUAAAAUAAAAAUGUUAUUGGAAAUAUUGUCGUCGUCAUUAAUUUUAAAUGUUGAUUAAUUAUCCCAGGGCAUUUUCUGUAG
rnacentral:lncRNA from 1 species